UACGAAGGGGGCUGCGUUGCUCGGAAUGACUGGGCGUAAAGGGCGCGUAGGCGGAUGGCACAGUCAGAUGUGAAAUUCCCGGGCUUAACCUGGGGGCUGCAUUUGAUACGUGUGAUCUAGAGUGAGGAAGAGGGUUGUGGAAUUCCCAGUGUAGAGGUGAAAUUCGUAGAUAUUGGGAAGAACACCGGUGGCGAAGGCGGCGACCUGGUCCUUGACUGACGCUGAGGCGCGAAAGCGUGGGGAGCAAACAGG
rnacentral:rRNA from 1 species